CCAGCCUCUGGGCAAGUGGUAGUUUGUGGUAGUUUGUUAUGGCAGCCGUGGCUUGCCAGCAACCACUAGAAGCUAGGAAGGGACAAGGCGACAGAGUGAGACCCUGACUCAAAAAAAUCUUUGAUGAGCUGGAUUGACUCCUGAAUAAUUGGAAGGGUGUGUUAGCCUCCUGCGGCCGUGAUAACAAACGACCACAAGCUGGGCAGCUUUAAGCCACAGAAAUCAAAGUGUCACAGGGUCACGAGUCAUCCGAAGGCUCGAGUGGAGACUCCCUCCUUGCACCUCCCCAGCGUCUGGUGGUUGCUGGCAAGCCUUGGUAUUCCUCUGCUGGCAGCUGCACUGCUCCAGUCUGUGUCUGUCACUUCCCUGCCUUCUUCUCUGUGUCACUGAGUCCACAUUUCCCUCUCCUUUAAGGACACCAGUCAUUGGAUGAGGUUCCACCCUAAUCCACUGUGACCUCAUCUUAAUUGGAUUAUAUCUGCACAAACCCUAUUUCCAAAUAAACUCACAUUCACAAGUACCUUACCAGGGGUAAGGAUGGGAACAUAUCUUUUGGGAGGGCCGCAGCUUAACUAACAAAGCGUGCUGUGUGUGCUCUUCUUCUGUAUCUACAGGUCUGAAGCUUCUUUGGAGGGACUCCUUCCACAUGGGGCAGGUUAUUCCGGAAGCAGCUCCAGAACUUCAAAUAAUUAUAUUACACAGUCAGCACACCGUUUUCUAAGGGCUAGAUUCAUGCAUUCUUUCAGUGUUUGAGGGCCUGCUGUGUGCUGAUGCUGCUUCAGGAUCUGGAUGUGGAGAGAUGAGUAAGCCAGACAGCUCUGAUCAAAUACAAUUGUUUGUGUUUUAAACUUGCCAAGGGCAUCAUGGACUCUUCUGGCAAUUACAUGAUUAAAACAUAGUUUUAAGAGAAAGGAAAGUCAUCAUUUUUCUUUUUGCCAAGAUGUAAACUAAGAUGCAUGACUGGGAAAAUGUCAUCUUAUAGGAUCAUGCCUAUGGACAAGGGCUUAUGGCAAAACUGUGGAGCUCAGCUUGGAGUGCCCCGAAUCUGAGCACAGCAGGAUGACAAAUACAGAAGCAAGGAUGGGUGGUCUGUGGGAGGGGAGAUGAAGGGGAGUUGCGGGAUGGAUUGCAGUAGUGCUGGGGGCCCUGACAGUGGAUCAGGCCAGGAGUCCUCCUGAGCUGUCCUGGUGGCCCCUGGAACCACCAAUGUGAUGGAACUUCUCCUGGUCCAGUGAGCACCCUGGGUGGUACAGGAAAGAAACACACUGGAGCAGGCAUUCCGCACUCAGGGAACCACCCCAGGACAGCUGUGUGUUUGUGCCUUCUUCCUCUUCGUGGCUUUCCUCGAAAGGUGGCAUGGCCUCAGGCUGCCAUCACACCCUUCUUCCCCUUGGGCCUUCUGGCCUGACACUCCGUGUGCCUCCCUGCCUGCCUCCUGCUUCUGAUUUCAAUCCUUGGACUCUCAACAACUCGUCUCCCUUUGUCAAUAUGGAGAAUGUGUAACAAAUGGCCUCUGUUUGGCGGAGGUGGGACGGCUGACACCUAUGAAUGGACCUCUGGACAGCUCCUCCUGCCAGACCAAGGCCACAGGGACCCAGACAGUGACAGCAGGCAAAGAAGCUGCAUUCUGGCCCGGGACUCUUGGAGUACUCACCAGCCAUGAGGGACGAAGGCUGAGAUGCAACGUGAAACAUGGACAUAAAUGUGGUUGUUUUGUAUAACCCCCCAAAUAACUGGGGGAGAUGCUACCUCUCUCCAUAGUUUUUUUACUUGGUGACACGCAGCAUAUAUAUGAGAAUGAAGGAAGGAUCUUGAAGAUCAUGGUUCCCACACAAAUUACAAGCACCAUCGUUAAUGCGUGGUUACAGUAAAGAGUCCUAUCCAGUUUCUCAACUGCCAACCCCCACCCCUCGUAUGAGGACUAUGAGACAUCAUAACCUGCAGGUAGAGUUCAGUAUUCAACAAAAUGAGCAGCUGUCAUCCUGGCUGUCACCUGGUGAACCAGAGGCUGGUGUUUCCUACUUAAGAACAUCUAUCUAGCCCGGACCGACAGCCAGAGUGCCAGCGUCUACUGCAGAGGCCGCACGGCAACUCAAGAAUGUUUUCUCACUUUGCUGCCCCAUCGAGGUCACAGGUCUUGAUGGAAUGUGAAACUGCAGUUUUCUCGGUGCUCGCUAGCUCAGCAGCCAUGGCGAUGGUUUCCUAAAUACAUUUGGAAGAUGAGUGGAACACUCUUUGGGAGCAUUUUACCAACAGAUAAAAUACAUUAGCCAUGUGGAAAAUGAGCAAACUGGUAUCUGAAUCAGGGAUCCAUGUGCAGGCUCUGAGCGAUCUAAUGGAGAAGACCACUGUGCCUCUGCCCAGAGUGGCCCCAAGCUCGAGAGUCACGCAAGAACACACAGGUAGGGUGGCCACACGCAGCACGGUGAGUGAGGGACGCCGAGGGUGACUCCACAAGUCUUUGGAGGGAUUUCAAUCAAGGGAUUUCUUCUUCUCUACAGCGGGCAGAUGAGAGGCAGAAUUCAAAGCACUUGUCCAUUUAAAGAGUGAAUGUAAGAUUUUAGUAAUACACAAAAGCAACUUCACUUUUAGGCCCCAAACCAGAGCUUGUAACAAAAUACCCAAUGCUACAUUAAGGUUGAAUUCAGGGAGGAGAUUUAAGCCAUUGAUAAAGGCCUGUGCCUGUGCUUUCUAGUUCCCCUACAACUUUUGAAGGAAAUGAGUUGUUUGGGGGCCGUAAAGCCAAGUUUUUUAAGAUAUUAGAAAUAAUCUUUGUAAUUGCUUUGCUAAAGAAUCCUAAAUACUUUAGUUAAAAAGCAAACAAACAACAACACACAGCAAUAUAUUGCAGAGGUAUCAACACCAAAUUCUGCUCCUCUAUUUAUCCUGGAAUUAUAAAUUGGAAAAAAGCUAAAUAUAGAUACUUCUGCCACAUAGUAUGUUAGAUCCAGGGCAACUGCCCAAAUAGCACGUUUUGCUCCCUUUGGAGAAUUAAAGUUGAAUCCAAUAUAAAGAGGUGUGUGGGCUCUACCGCCAGCCUGCACCCAGCAUGCACUAGCUGGGUGACCUCCGGAAAUAGGCAUAGAAAGUCAUCGUUCCUGGAACACUGUGUAUACCCAGUAAAUGGUCACUACUAUUAUUAAUAAAUAUUUAUGACAAGGACAAA